rnacentral:rRNA from 1 species
AUGGUAGAUGGGCAGUGGUGUGAACGUGGGAUCCUUUUCCAAGACGCCGCACUGGUCCUCGAAAGGCAUCUCGGAGCACUCGGCCUUCACCUUCUUCCUCGCCAGGAAGCCGAUCCUAACCCAGUCCUCGACGAAGUUGCUGAUAGACACCAACCAAGCAGCUCCGGUCAGAAACAGAUGGAAGAAAAGUUUAUUCAGAUUCAACCCAUUUUUUUCCUGAUGUACAAACUGUGGUUGGCGCCGCCUCCUCGCAGCGCCGCUUCUUCUUCCUCUCCUCUCAACUCUCUCUCGAGUUUCUCUCUACUUCUCUCAAGAACACACAAUGGAAAAGAACUCACACGUACAGAAAACACACACACACACACACACACACACACACACACACACACACUUCACCAAGGAGAGGAAAGGCUUUGCUUCUUCCCCCGGUGA